UGAAAUAGCUUCCAUACCAUGUGAUGCGCGGCA
rnacentral:sRNA from 1 species